rnacentral:pre_miRNA from 1 species
ACAACAACAUUCGGACCGCCGGUCCACCGAGCAAUAUCAUCCGCUCGGUGGAAGAUCUUCCCUUUCUCGUAUAUU